CGGACGGGUGAGUAACGCGUGGGUAACCUGCCUUGUACUGGGGGACAACAGUUAGAAAUGACUGCUAAUACCGCAUAAGCGCACAGUAUCGCAUGAUACAGUGUGAAAAACUCCGGUGGUACAAGAUGGACCCGCGUCUGAUUAGCUAGUUGGUAAGGCAACGGCUUACCAAGGCGACGAUCAGUAGCCGACCUGAGAGGGUGACCGGCCACAUUGGGACUGAGACACGGCCCAA
rnacentral:rRNA from 1 species